rnacentral:rRNA from 1 species
GACGAACGCUGGCGGCGUGCUUAACACAUGCAAGUCGAACGGAAAGGCCCAGCUUUCUGGGUGCUCGAGUGGCGAACGGGCGAGUAACACGUGGGUGAUCUGCCCCUAACUUCGGGAUAAGUUAGGGUAACUGGGGGUAGUACCGGCUAGGUCAUUCGUUUGGUGUCGGUUGUGGAAAGUGUUUUCGGUUAGGGAUUAGCGCGCGGCUUAUCAGCCUGUUGGUGGGGUAAUGGUCUACCAAGGAGGCGACGGGUAGCCGGCCUGAGAGGGUGGACGGCGACAUUGGGACUGAGGUACGGCGCAGACGCCAACGGGCGGCAGCAGGGGGGAAUAUUGCACAAUGGGGGCAAGCCUGAUGCAGCGAUGCUGGGUGCGGGAUGUCGGCCUUCGGGUUGUAAACCACUUUCGACAGGGACGAAGCUUUGGUGACGGUACCUGAACAAGAAGAAACGGCUAACUACGUG